rnacentral:rRNA from 1 species
AGGACGAACGCUGGCGGCGUGCUUAACACAUGCAAGUCGAGCGGAAAGGCCCUUCGGGGUACUCGAGCGGCGAACGGGUGAGUAACACGUGAGUAAUCUGCCCUUAGCUCUGGGAUAGCUCCGGGAAACCGGGAUUAAUACCAGAUACAACCACUUUAGACAUCUGUUGUGGUGGAAAGAAUUUUGGCUAAGGAUGAGCUCGCGGCCUAUCAGCUUGUUGGUGGGGUAAUGGCCUACCAAGGCGACGACGGGUAG